ACUUCGGUUACGGUUACGGAUAAUGCUAAUAACCGAACCGAACCGUGCACACCCCUAUCUGAUACUACAUAUUAAUAGUCAUAAAAUCUAUGAGUUUCUUCAUGUGAAAUGCAUUAUGUAUUUCAUUUCUUUGUGUUUGUAGGCCUUUACCAUGGAACGGGAAGCAGAAGUCUCAGAACCGAAGCGGAAGAAUGAAGAACUGAAACAGGAAAGUGAUAGCUUAAAAAGAACAAUCACUGUAGGUGCAUGUGACAACCCGUAAUUCUCGAGGUUGACGAUGAUGAGAACAUGAAAUGAAGUAGCAAUGAUGCCUAGAUACACAUAUAGACGUUAGGGUUUAAUAUGUGGU